GAUGAACGCUGGCGGCGUGCUUAACACAUGCAAGUCGAACGAUGAAGCCCAGCUUGCUGGGCGGAUUAGUGGCGAACGGGUGAGUAACACGUGAGUAACCUGCCCUUGACUCUGGGAUAAGCCCGGGAAACUGGGUCUAAUACCGGAUAGGAGCGCCUGUCGCAUGACGGGUGCUGGAAAGAUCUUUCGGUCAUGGAUGGACUCGCGGCCUAUCAGCUUGUUGGUGAGGUAACGGCUCACCAAGGCGACGACGGGUAGCCGGCCUGAGAGGGUGACCGGCCACACUGGGACUGAGACACGGCCCAGACCCCUACGGGAGGCAGCAGUGGGGAAUAUUGCACAAUGGGCGAAAGCCUGAUGCAGCGACGCCGCGUGAGGGAUGACGGCCUUCGGGUUGUAAACCUCUUUCAGCAGGGAAGAAGCGAAAGUGACGGUACCUGCAGAAGAAGCACCGGCUAACUACGUG
rnacentral:rRNA from 1 species